rnacentral:lncRNA from 7 species
AUGCGCUCGUGGGUCCCGCGUGGGGCGGUAGUGCGGUGCCCGCGGCGUAGCGCAGGAGCUGCCUGCUCUCACACACGCACCUCUCCGUCCUUUACGAGCACACCGCUGAUUUGCUUAUUUACCUGAAGUACUUUUUGGUAUAGAACACACUUUGCCAAAGACACAGUGCUUUUUCUUCAUCUGAUGGACUCAGAAAAACAGGACAAGAUAAUCUCCAGGCAUGAGUUCUAAGAGGACUGGCACAUUUAACAGUAGUUACAAUAGCAAACACUUUUUCAAGUACAGAUAUCAAGGUGAAGAUUUUUCUGAGUGACUGAAGGAUAGCAGAGGAGCCUUCAUUUAAGGUAUGCAUGUCAUUUUCCCGGGUGCUCUGCAAUUUUCUCCAUCAAUGAAGGAUUAUUUAAAAUCAGCCCUGUUUUGACUUUCACAAGAUUACACGGCUCCUGUGUUAAAAUGGGGGUUCCAAUUCACUCCGGAUUUCACAAAAACACUAUGAAAUAUCUCUUCGUACCAUUAUAAUAGCUGUGACAAGGUUGAGAAUGAAGCCGAAAGUAGAGCUUUAUUUGCAAGAAGAGAGUAGUGGGAAAGUGAAGUGCUGAAAGCAGCAACAGUGUAAUGGAAGUCAUGUGACUUUCAUCGCAGACCAGAAUGACAGACUGUUUGGGAAGGGUAUGCCUGCAGAUUUACUGCUGGGGGGAUUAACUUUUAUACAUGUGGUUUUGGAACAACAUGUGCAAGCGUUUUUUCUUUCUGUCUGGCAGAUGUGUGCGUCAAAAGGGAAUAAGUUUGUAUUGAAUUCAGGCAAGUUAAUUCCUCCUGUGAUGUUCCUUCUGGACUGGUAUUUAAUUAACAAAAAACUUCUUAUAGUUUUCUUCUGCUUUUUGCAUUUUCAAGAUGUUAUAGAAUUCUACUACAAAAAUAUUUCACGUACCCAAUGACUUUAAAAUCUACCGGAGUCAUGCCUGCACAGUGUGCCCUGGGUUGAAUCAUAAGCACUGACUUUUAAAGGCAUUAGAGGAGUUGUCUGCAUCUUUACAUACAUAUAUAUAUAUAUAAAUACAUAUAAAACAGCCUGUUAUUUUGUGGCUUGUAAAAUUAAUAUAAAAUGUGAUAUAAAAAAACAUCCUAGUUGUAAACCUUAACAUACUUCGUUCUUUAAGACUGACUUUUCCAAUAUCUGACUUGAAGACUGCAGUAAGUUUCUAAUUUGAAGAACACAAAAGGAAACUUCUUUGUUCUCCUAAGACCUUCAAGAUUCACGAGAGCCAUUUGCAAGGUGAAAUAACCAGAAAUGAGGUGUGAAAGAGCUUAUAAAAGGGUUUUCUUGAUUGAGAUUUGAAGAUGUUGGAUGUCUCUGGAGCCAGGACUCUGAAUUUGAGAACAUAUAUAUACUAUUUCCCAUCUCCUGGAGGUAGUUAAUCGAUUGCUUUGAGAUAACUUAAACUCAGUUAUAACUUCUCAAUUUCCUGUCUGCUCACUUUCCCUAUUUACAGAUUUUCCUAUUGCAAAGGAGAUUUUAAAACAGUAUUUCCUUGUGCUUCAUCGCCAUUCUUGAAACCACGGACUGUUUGGGCUUUCUAUUACAUAACAGAAUAUUAUUUAUUUGUACUUUGGAUCAGGGUGAGUUUUUUUGUUUGUUUGUUUGUGUGUUUUUGUUCUGCUGGCAGUUUUGGUGUUAUUACUUUGGGAUACUGAUUAUAAAAUAGAAGUUGAUCACAUUCUCAACAAUAGGCUGUAUAGCGUUACCAAUCUCCGGAAUUACCUUUUCCAACCCAACUUACUGAGUCGUACACAUGUAUCAAAGUAGCAGUGAAAUGUUGCUAAGCUCUCAAAUAAACUCUUAC